GUGGUUGUGUGAGUGGUUGUGUGUGGUUGCAGGCAAGGAAGGGGCUGCUGGACCAGGUGAAGGCCAAGGUGGAGGUCUGCAAAGAGGACUCCAUCGAUGCGGAUCAGCUGAGGAGCUACCUGGAGAAACGCUUCGACUUUGAGCAGGUGACGGUGAAGAAGUUCCGCACGUGGGCGGAGCGCCGGCAGUUCCACCGUGUCUCUGUG